CAAUGUGAACGUUACCAAACUGUUGCCUCGGCGGGAUCUCUGCCCCGGGUGCGUCGCAGCCCCGGACCAAGGCGCCCGCCGGAGGACCAACCAAAACUCUUAUUGUAUACCCCCUCGCGGGUUUUUUUAUAAUCUGAGCCUUCUCGGCGCCUCUCGUAGGCGUUUCGAAAAUGAAUCAAAACUUUCAACAACGGAUCUCUUGGUUCUGGCAUCGAUGAAGAACGCAGCGAAAUGCGAUAAGUAAUGUGAAUUGCAGAAUUCAGUGAAUCAUCGAAUCUUUGAACGCACAUUGCGCCCGCCAGUAUUCUGGCGGGCAUGCCUGUCCGAGCGUCAUUUCAACCCUCGAACCCCUCCGGGGGGUCGGCGUUGGGGAUCGGCCCUCCCUUAGCGGGUGGCCGUCUCCGAAAUACAGUGGCGGUCUCGCCGCAGCCUCUCCUGCGCAGUAGUUUGCACACUCGCAUCGGGAGCGCGGCGCGUCCACAGCCGUUAAACACCCAACUUCUGAAAUGUUGACCUCGGAUCAAGUAAGAAUACCCGCUGAACUUAAGCAUAUCAAUAAGCGGAAGAAAAGAAACCAACAGGGAUUGCCCCAGUAACGGCGAGUGAAGCGGCAACUGCUCAAAUUUGAAAUCUGGUCCCUAGGGCCCGAGUUGUAAUUUGUAAAGGAUGCUUUUGGUGACGUGCCGACUGAGUUGGAUGGAACGGGACGCCACAGAGGGUGCAGAGCCCCGUCUGGCUGGCAGCCGAGCCCUAUGUAAAGCUCCUUCCACGAGUCAAGCAGCUUGGGAAUGCAAGCUCAAAAUGGGCAGGCAUAUGACAUUCGAAAAUUGACCUAUAGCCCAAUAGACCCAAUAGUCGCACAGAUUAAAAGUGAUCUAAAAGAUUUGAAAAAACCGUUGAAAAAAAAGGGUUAAAUAAGUACGCUGAAAAUUGACCCUACCUGGAACACGCCUUGUUCAUCAGAACUUUGCGCGGCGGGUGGGAUUCAUCCGGCGGUCUACGCCUCCAUGAGGACAUUUUCCCAUCCGUCAAAGGGCCAACAAGGAAGAUUCCUCGCUUCCGGGGGAACAAACUGCCUUCCCGGUAAACGAAGGCCUCCC
rnacentral:sRNA from 1 species